rnacentral:rRNA from 1 species
CGCGUAGGCGGCCUGCUAAGUCGAACGUGAAAUCCCUGGGCUCAACCCAGGAACUGCGUCCGAUACUGGUUGGCUUGAAUCCGGGAGAGGGAUGUGGAAUUCCAGGUGUAGCGGUGAAAUGCGUAGAUAUCUGGAGGAACACCGGUGGCGAAGGCGACAUCCUGGACCGGUAUUGACGCUGAGGCGCGAAAGCCAGGGAGCAAACG